UCCGGUAGAGUGAACCAGCGGAGGGAUCAUUACCGAGUUUACAACUCCCAAACCCCUGUGAACAUACCUUACUGUUGCCUCGGCGGAUCAGCCCGCUCCCGGUAAAACGGGACGGCCCGCCAGAGGACCCCUAAACUCUGUUUCUAUAUGUAACUUCUGAGUAAAACCAUAAAUAAAUCAAAACUUUCAACAACGGAUCUCUUGGUUCUGGCAUCGAUGAAGAACGCAGCAAAAUGCGAUAAGUAAUGUGAAUUGCAGAAUUCAGUGAAUCAUCGAAUCUUUGAACGCACAUUGCGCCCGCCAGUAUUCUGGCGGGCAUGCCUGUUCGAGCGUCAUUUCAACCCUCAAGCCCUCGGGUUUGGUGUUGGGGAUCGGCGAGCCUUUCUGGCAAGCCGGCCCCGAAAUCUAGUGGCGGUCUCGCUGCAGCCUCCAUUGCGUAGUAGUAAAACCCUCGCAACUGGAACGCGGCGCGGCCAAGCCGUUAAACCCCCAACUUCUGAAUGUUGACCUCGGAUCAGGUAGGAAUACCCGCUGAACUUAAGCAUAUCAAUAAGCGAAGGAAA
rnacentral:rRNA from 1 species